rnacentral:rRNA from 1 species
GAUGAACGCUGGCGGCGUGCCUAAUACAUGCAAGUCGAACGAACAGAUGCGGAGCUUGCUCCUCGGACGUUAGCGGCGGACGGGUGUGUAACGCGUGGAUAACCUACCUAUAAUUCUGGGAUAACUACGGAAAACCGGCUCUAAUAGCGUAGAAGAUAUUGAUCCGCGGUGGUGAAUGGUGAGAUACGGCGUUUGUGGCACUAAUAGAGGGUUCCGGGCUGGAUUAGCUGGUUGGUAAGGUAACAGCUUACCAAGGCAACGAGGCGUAGCCGAACUGAGGGGGUGAUCGGCCACACUGGAACGGAGCCACGGUCCAGACUCCUACGGGAGGCAGCAGUAGGGAAUCUGCCGCAAUGGGCGAAAGCUUGACGGAGCAACGCCGAGUGAGUGAUGACGGCGUUCGGAUCGUAAAACUCUGUUAUUAGGGAAGAACAAAUGUGUAAGUAACUAUGCACGUCUUGACGGUACCGAAUCAGAAAGCCACGGCUAACUACGUG